rnacentral:rRNA from 1 species
AAUGAACGCUGGCGGCAUGCCUAACACAUGCAAGUCGAACGAAGCCUUCGGGCUUAGUGGCGCACGGGUGCGUAACGCGUGGGAACCUGCCUUUAGGUUCGGAAUAACAGUUGGAAACGACUGCUAAUACCGGAUAAAGUCUUCGGACCAAAGAUUUAUCGCCUUUAGAUGGGCCCGCGUUGGAUUAGCUAGUUGGUGGGGUAAAAGCCUACCAAGGCGACGAUCCAUAGCUGGUCUGAGAGGAUGAUCAGCCACACUGGGCCUGAGACACGGCCCAG